rnacentral:rRNA from 1 species
AGUGAACGCUGGCGGUAGGCCUAACACAUGCAAGUCGAACGGCAGCACAGUAAGAGCUUGCUCUUACGGGUGGCGAGUGGCGGCCGGGUGAGGAAUACAUCGGAAUCUACUUUUUCGUGGGUGAUAACGUAGGGAAACUUACGCUAAUACCGCAUACGACCUACGGGUGAGUGCAGGGGAUCUUCGGACCUUGCGCGAUUGAAUGAGCCGAUGUCGGAUUAGCUAGUUGGCGGGGUAAAGGCCCACCAAGGCGACGAGCCGUAGCUGGUCUGAGAGGAUGAUCAGCCACACUGGAACUGAGACACGGUCCAGACUCCGACGGGAGGCAGAAGUGGGGAAGAUUGGACAAUGGGCGCAAGCCUGAUCCAGCCAUACCGCGUGGGUGAAGAAGGCCUUCGGGUUGUAAAGCCCUUUUGUUGGGAAAGAAAAGCAGCAGGUUAAUACCCCGCUGUUCUGACGGUACUCAAAGAAUAAGCACCGGCUAACUUCGUG